rnacentral:rRNA from 1 species
AUAGUGGCAAACGGGUGAGUAACACGUGGGUAAUCUACCUUUAAGUGGGGGAUAGCUUCGCGAAAGCGAAGGUAAUACCGCAUAAGACCACAGUCUGGAUUGCAGACAGAGGUCAAAGGCUUUUAGUCGCUUAAAGAGGAACCUGCGCCCUAUCAGUUUGUUGGUGAGGUAAAAGCUCACCAAGACUACGACGGGUAGCCGACCUGAAAGGGUGAUCCCCCACACUGGUACUGAGACACGGACCAGACUCC